rnacentral:rRNA from 1 species
CCUACGGGAGGCAGCAGUGGGGAAUAUUGGACAAUGGGGGGAACCCUGAUCCAGCGACGCCGCGUGCGUGAAGAAGUAUUUCGGUAUGUAAAGCUCUAUCAGCAGGGAAGAAAGAAAUGACGGUACCUGACUAAGAAGCCCCGGCUAACGACGUGCCAGCAGCCGCGGUAAUACGGAGGGGGCAAGCGUGAUCCGGAUUGACUGGGUGUAAAGGGAGCGUAGACGGCGAUGCAAGUCUGAAGUGAAAGGCGGGGGCCAAACCCCUGGACUGCUUUGGAAACUGUAUGGCUGGAGUGAAGGAGAGGUAAGUGGAAUUCCUAGUGUAGCGGUGAAAUGCGUAGAUAUUAGGAGGAACACCAGUGGCGAAGGCGGCUUACUGGACUGUAACUGACGUUGAGGCUCGAAAGCGUGGGGAGCAAACAGGAUUAGAUACCCCUGUAGUC